rnacentral:rRNA from 1 species
GAUGAACGCUGGCGGCGUGCCUAAUACAUGCAAGUCGAGCGAACAGAUGAGGAGCUUGCUCCUCUGACGUUAGCGGCGGACGGGUGAGUAACACGUGGAUAACCUACCUAUAAUACUGGGAUAACUUCGGGAAACCGGCGCUAAUACCGUAUAAUAUAUUGAACCGCAUGGUUCAAUAGUGAAAGACGGUUUUGCUGUCACUUAUAGAUGGAUCUGCGCCGCAUUAGCUAGUUGGUAAGGUAACGGCUUACCAAGGCGACGAUGCGUAGCCGACCUGAGAGAGUGAUAGCCCGCACGGGAAGUGAGACACGGUCAAGGGUACUACGGGAGGCAGCAGUAGGCAAUCUGACGCAAUGGGGGAAAGCCUGACGGAGCAACGCCGAGUGAGUGAUGACGGUCUUCGGAUCGGAAAACUCUGUUAUGAGUGAAGAACAAAUGUGUACGUAACCAUGCACGUCGUGACGGUACCUAAUCAGAAAGCAACGGCUAACUACGUG